CACUUGGUAAAAAAAUUUAGAAACAUGUAAUAAUGACCUCUUGCUUUUCUUCUAACUUUAUUAUUUCAAGUCAAGCAAAAAUGGAUACUUUUCUCCCAGAAAAAAAAAUUGCAUGUGUUUUUGAUGCAAAAAUGGUAAUUUAGUUACACUAUUUUAGAUUAGCAUUUAUGAUAGAUCUUAUUUCAAAGCUGAUUCUCAAAGAAAAUCAUAGAGAUAUUAGAAUAUUCCAAGUACAUUACAUUGUUGAAAAAGUAUUUUAAUACAUUAUUCAAAUUGUUGUCAGCUAUUAAUUUUUUAAAGUAGUAUCUGCUCCAAAUGUGAAAUUUUGCUUUUUUGAAAGAACUUACAAAUUCCAAUUUUGUUAGGAACAGCAGUGGAAAUUAAUAUAAAAGUCAUAGACAAUUUAGAGCUCCUUCAAAAUUUAGAGCUCCUUCAAUUUCCCCCCCCCCCCCUUUUAAACUUUAACUGUGAUAGGCAUCUCUGCAAGGUAGGUUUUAACAUAUUUUUUCCUAAUUUUUUUUUCCUCCUUUCAGUAAGAAGGAUAAGCUUUUAGAGUACCCAGUCACCGUGGUAACUGCCAAAAAAAUUCUCCUGAAGUUUGAAGAGGUCAGCUAGCAGGGUCAACAACUCUGGCCUCUCUCUGAGCUCGGUCUAGCAUGCCCCAGCCUGCGGUUGGAGUGUCAGGCCAGAUCUGACCCUGGGAGGUGGACUAUUCCGGCUCUGAUAUAAAUUUUUUGAGUCAGUUCAUGGCCUGGACUCUCCAGGUGGCCUCUAAAAUCGAUUUUGACCCCCUGACCCUGUCUCACGGAGGCAUAGCAUCCACCCUAAGUAAGGAUUUAGCCAGGAAUGACAGCUUUCCACUGAGUGUUAUUGGGGACAGUAUAAACAGUUUGGAAAGCAAGGAAGGAGGUGUGAGUGCUAGAAAUCAUUAAAAGCACAUUAAAAAACAAUUAAAUUUUUCUUUGCUUAAAAUAUUUAAUAUGUAUAUUUGUUAUAUAAUUCUACGUGUUUUGUAAGAUUUUUUAAAUAAAAAAAGUGUUGAAUAUAAAAACUCAAUGAACUACACAUCUUCAUCCUUUUAUAUACUUUGUUACAAAUAUGCAAAUAAGAUAGCCUGACUUGCAACANNNNNNNNNNNNNNNNNNNNNNNNNGGAAAAGAGAAGCUAGUUAUUAAAAUACAUUAAUAGAUAAAGAGUUUCAAGUAUUGUAAAUAUUACAUUUCAUGUGCUUCUGUCUUGAAAUGUUUAAAAUGGGAAAAUAUGGAAUCUUAAAAAAAAAGUCUGGAAUGAAGAUAAACUUGCGCUUCACUUUAAGUGCCUUUCUACUUUGUAAAACAAAUAGGCACUCAUUUGGAUACAAUGAGAUAAACAUUAUAAAUAGAGGAAAUAAGAUCUUAUAGAGCUAAAGAGGAAAAAGCAAUAAAUUAAUAGUGUCUCCAAAUCAACUUUAAGUAUUUUCAAUAGUUUAAGAUAUCAGAAGCUUGCAAAGUAUAAUAGUAAUAAUGUGUGUAAAUCAUCAGUGAUUCUCCUCUUCCUUCUUCUUCUCCCUUGCCCCCUCCCCAAGAUGCCAAACUGAAAGUUUUAUUUUCUCCAGUAAAUAAAGUAGAGUUCCCUUUGAGCAUGUACUCAGUAUGUAAAUGUGGUCAUCAAGCAAGGCGGAACAGAGGGAAGAUUNNNNNNNNNNNNNNNNNNNNNNNNNNNNNNNNNNNNNNNNNNNNNNNNNNNNNNUCCUGCUUCCAGUGGUACUUUACGCAGUUUCCCCCAUUUCCCAGCACUGUUGAAAUGGCACUGAAGCAACGCUGCAGUAGAUAAACCAAUUGUACUGUGGAGUUGUUGAGAUGACAUUUCAUCUGAAUCCUUUGUAAAAGUUAGAUUUUAAAUAGGGGUGAAUGUCCUUUCGGGAGAGGGGACAAGGGAGGGUGGAAGAAGAGGAGGAGGGGACUGAGCAGUUUAUAUACAUAUAUACUCUUUGUGUUUGAAGGCCUCUGUGUCUUAGCUUCUCACUAUGUUAAAUCCCUAUUAUAAAACUUAUCUUCACAAAGCCUAUUAUAGUAUUCUGAGAACAAAUUGGACCAUGAAUAACUUAGUUGGAAGUGUAGAUUAUUUUCUACUCAGGGAAAGUUAGAGAUGACAACAGCUUAACUAAAAGAAUAGUGAUUAACCUUAAAUAGAUGGAUUUCAAAGUUUCACUUUUGAUAAAGAGUACCUUUGAUAUUUCCCCUCUUCAGAUUCAUAUUUCCACUUUCUUUGUGUUAAGAAUUGUCCUAGUGAUUACACUGUCCACCUAAUAUAGCAUGGCUCUAACUGUAGAUCCUUUUCUUGCAGGUUGCUAAUCUGAGAGGGGACCAGAAAGACACUCUACUUCCUAUAGGUUAAAUAUAUGGUUCUGAAGUGGUCCCGCGCUUAGACAUCAAACUCACUGUUGGGAAUGAUAUCUUGCAUAAAUCAUAAUUCCUCAGCUAGAUAAAAUUAUUAUUGAAAAACAUCUUAGUUUUAUUUAAUGCCUUAGAGUUUACAAGGCACUUCUCAAUUCAUAAUUUUGUUUGAUCCAUAGAAUAAUGUCAUGAAAUAAAUAUCAUUAAUGCCAUUUUGCCAAGGAGACAGCUGAGUCAUUUGCACACUCUGAUCCACCUGAUAAAUGGAACUGGGAUAGCUCUCUUUAUGGCUUUCUAUUUCAAUUGAUUAACCUAUAGCAAUAGGCUUUUUAAUUUUUUAAAAGUUUUAUUGGAGUAUAGUUGAUUUAGAAUGUUGUGUUGUGUUAUUUAGGCUUUUUUAUUUUUAUUUCUAUAUCUCUGAAAAAUCAAGAUUUUAUAUCAAAGAGCAAAGUUUUUAUAUGUCACAGACAAAAAGGUUAAAAGACCCAAUUUUAAAAAUUCUAUUCACUGAGAAGUAAAUUUUGCUAAUUAUUGUUUUUCUUUGUGUGUGUGUAUCUGUCUGUCUAUCUAUCUACCUAUCCAUCUGUCAAUGUAUCGGUCUUUUAGAAUGGAAAGUCUUAAUCUUUAAAAAUCAAACAUGAACAGCCUUAUAUAAAUUAAAUAACUACCUUGAAUUUUUUAAAAUGUACAAGAAAACCGUAGAUUGUAUGUAUAUUUCAAAACAAAAUGUAAUAAUAAAUAUGCUUUUAGAAGUAGGUUAUGCAUAUUAAGUAAUUAUUUGAGAGCAUACCAUUGAUUAAAUUCUGCAGUGUUAUAGGUAAGGUUUCCCUUCUAGAUUUUUUUUUCAGCUCUAUUGAAAUAUAAUUUACAAAAUUGUAAGAUAUUUAAAAUGUACACCGUGAUGAUUUGAUAGAAGCAUACACUGUGAAAGUGUUUUUCCCAUCUAGUUAAUUAACACAUCCAUCACCUUCUGUAUUUAUCUUUUUUUUAAAAGAAGACAUUUAAGUUCUGCUCUCUUAACAAAUUUCGAUUAUUCAUACAGUGUUAUCAACUAUAGUCACUAUGUUACACAUUACAUUUUCAGACCUUAUUCAUCUUAUAGCUGAAAGUUUGUACCAUUUUAUCAACCUCUCUCUAAUUUCCUCACUCCCCAGCUCUGCCCUUUUUAGCAUUUAUAGACUGGUAUCUUUUGAUGUCUUAACAAGACUGAAUAAACAAAGUUGUGA
rnacentral:lncRNA from 1 species